GCUCCCGUCGUCUAGAGGCCUAGGACACAUCCCUUUCACGGAUGCGACAGGGAUUCGAAUUCCCUCGGGAGUACCA
rnacentral:tRNA from 1 species